UCGCGUGCAGGAUGACUGCCCUAUGGGUUGUAAACUGCUUUUAUACGGGAAGAAAGGUACCUACGUGUAGGUAUUUGCCGGUACCGUACGAAUAAGCAUCGGCUAACUCCGUGCCAGCAGCCGCGGUAAUACGGAGGAUGCGAGCGUUAUCCGGAUUUAUUGGGUUUAAAGGGUGCGUAGGCGGAAUGGUAAGUCAGUGGUGAAAGUCUGCAGCUCAACUGUAGUUGUGCCAUUGAUACUGUCAUUCUUGAGUAUAGAUGAGGUAGGCGGAAUGAGUAGUGUAGCGGUGAAAUGCAUAGAUAUUACUCAGAACACCAAUUGCGAAGGCAGCUUACUAAACUAAYACUGACGCUGAAGCACGAAAGCGUGGGUAUCAAACAGGAUUAGAUACCCUGGUAGUCCACGCCGUAAACGAUGAUUACUGGUUGUUUGCAAUACACCGCAAGCGACUGAGCGAA
rnacentral:rRNA from 1 species